rnacentral:RNase_P_RNA from 1 species
GAAGCGCGCCGGACCGCCGCUGGCACAGGGCCCGAAAGGGUGUGCUGGAGGAACGUCCGGACUGCACAGGACAGCGUAGGAGGUAACACCUCUCCACCGAAAGACCGGCCGGGGCAACCCGGGCGGCCCCAAGGUGAGGAUCAGAGCAACAGAGACGAGCCGAUUCAGUUCGGGUGAAACGGGCAAUCUCUACGCGCAGCAAUACCAAAUAGGCCAGCGUCGAGGUGGUUCCGCUGAGCUGGCGGGUAGGUAGCACCGAGCCGGGUGGGCAACCCCCGGCCCAGAUGAAUGGCGGUCACGCCCCGGGCAACCGGGGUGCACAGAAUCCGGCUUACAGGCGCGCUUCACAC